UUAAGCUAAGCGUUGGAUUAGGUGUCGUCGUGUUGCAAUUGGUACUUGGCAGAGAAAUUGCAACGGUAGUCAUGAGCUAAGCGUUGCAUUAGGUGUCGUCGUGUUGCAAUUGGUACUUGGCAGAGAAAUUGCAACGAUAGUCAUGUCUCAUGUCCCGCCUCAAAUUUCUCGAAAAUUUCAAAUACAUCCCCUCGUACACCAAAAGCCCAGUAUUAAUUUCUCUUAGGUUAGGAGAGAGAAAGAAAGUUUCAAUAAGAAAAAGAAAAGGGGAGAGGGGGAGAAAUAGGGAGAGAAAGAGUAUGAAAUUCCGGUAAUUCCAUCUCAGAUCUCAAACAUGUAUCUCUAUCUAUGCAAGCUCAUCUCCUGCAAAAUGUAAGGAUAUCAUUCUUUUCAUCCAUUAAUGCAAGUAUGAAGCUUCGACGAUGACUCUCGCAACUUGAACUAUGUUUUGUUGUGUGUCUAAUCUAGUUUCGCAAUUCAUCAAUUUACUGCCCCCAAUUCGAGGGAUAGAUAGAAAGAGUGAGCGAAAAGGAGCGCUUGCAAAGAGGAGAUAGGCAAUUCGAAUCCCUUUCGAAAAAUUUGAAGAUAUGGGUAAAGACUGCUGAAGUUUUGGCACGUGAUCGCCUUUUAGGCUCAUUUCAGGUGAAUAAUGAACCAACUGGAGAAGAUCAAACAUAGACGUCUCACUAUACACACUAUCACCAUAUUUAGCUAGCAAUAUUAUAGUGAUGCGCUACUUGGUGGUUAGAAGGAAAAUGAUCUAUAUGUACUUAUUAGAAGUAUUUGUGGUACUAAAAUAAUUAUUUAUUAGUUGGGUUUGAUUAAGUACAUUAAUUUUCGUUAAUUAGGAUUUGUCAUGUAUACUCUUAAUUUAAUUAGUUUUGGAAACCAUAAUACAAAUAUGACAAUUAUUUUUGGCA